CCCUUAGAUGUUCUGGGCCGCACGCGCGCUACACUGAUGCAUUCAACGAGCCUAGCCUUGACCGAGAGGUCCGGGUAAUCUUUGAAACUGCAUCGUGAUGGGGCUAGAUUAUUGCAAUUAUUAAUCUUCAACGAGGAAUGCCUAGUAAGCGUGAUUCAUCAAAUCGCGUUGAUUACGUCCCUGCCCUUUGUACACACCGCCCGUCGCUCCUACCGAUUGAGUGGUCCGGUGAGGCUUUGGGAUCUGAGCGGAAAGAGCGUUUCGCUGUUUCUGCCCGGAAAACUCAGUCGAACCUUAUCAUUUAGAGGAAGGAGAAGUCGUAACA
rnacentral:rRNA from 1 species